AGGUUGAAGGUUGGGUAACACUAACUGGAGGACCGAACCGACUAAUGUUGAAAAAUUAGCGGAUGACCUGUGGCUGGGGGUGAAAGGCCAAUCAAACCGGGAGAUAGCUGGUUCUCCCCGAAAGCUAUUUAGGUAGCGCCUCGUGAAUUCAUCUCCGGGGGUAGAGCACUGUUUCGGCUAGGGGGCCAUCCCGGCUUACCAACCCGAUGCAAACUGCGAAUACCGGAGAAUGUUAUCACGGGAGACACACGGCGGGUGCUAACGUCCGUCGUGAAGAGGGAAACAACCCAGACCGCCAGCUAAGGUCCCAAAGUCAUGGUUAAGUGGGAAACGAUGUGGGAAGGCCCAGACAGCCAGGAUGUUGGCUUAGAAGCAGCCAUCAUUUAAAGAAAGCGUAAUAGCUCACUGGUCGAGUCGGCCUGCGCGGAAGAUGUAACGGGGCUAAACCAUGCACCGAAGCUGCGGCAGCGAACGUAUCACCCAAGACAACUUUACGGAGUUGACGAUUGACGGAGCGAAGCGACGUCAAAGCGUUCAUUAAAGUCGAGUUGGCUUAGGGAUACGUUCGUUGGGUAGGGGAGCGUUCUGUAAGCCUGUGAAGGUGUGUCGUGAGGCAUGCUGGAGGUAUCAGAAGUGCGAAUGCUGACAUAAGUAACGAUAAAGCGGGUGAAAAGCCCGCUCGCCGGAAGACCAAGGGUUCCUGUCCAACGUUAAUCGGGGCAGGGUGAGUCGACCCCUAAGGCGAGGCCGAAAGGCGUAGUCGAUGGGAAACGGGUUAAUAUUCCCGUACUUGGUGUUACUGCGAAGGGGGGACGGAGAAGGCUAUGUUGGCCGGGCGACGGUUGUCCCGGUUUAAGCGUGUAGGUGUGUGUUCCAGGUAAAUCCGGUUCACUUUAACACUGAGGCGUGACGACGAGGCACUACGGUGCUGAAGCAACAAAUGCCCUGCUUCCAGGAAAAGCCUCUAAGCAUCAGGUAACACGAAAUCGUACCCCAAACCGACACAGGUGGUCAGGUAGAGAAUACCAAGGCGCUUGAGAGAACUCGGGUGAAGGAACUAGGCAAAAUGGUGCCGUAACUUCGGGAGAAGGCACGCUGACACGUAGGUGAAGUGAUUUACUCAUGGAGCUGAAGUCAGUCGAAGAUACCAGCUGGCUGCAACUGUUUAUUAAAAACACAGCACUGUGCAAACACGAAAGUGGACGUAUACGGUGUGACGCCUGCCCGGUGCCGGAAGGUUAAUUGAUGGGGUCAGCGUAAGCGAAGCUCCUGAUCGAAGCCCCGGUAAACGGCGGCCGUAACUAUAACGGUCCUAAGGUAGCGAAAUUCCUUGUCGGGUAAGUUCCGACCUGCACGAAUGGCGUAAUGAUGGCCAGGCUGUCUCCACCCGAGACUCAGUGAAAUUGAACUCGCUGUGAAGAUGCAGUGUACCCGCGGCAAGACGGAAAGACCCCGUGAACCUUUACUAUAGCUUGACACUGAACAUUGAGCCUUGAUGUGUAGGAUAGGUGGGAGGCUUUGAAGUGUGGACGCCAGUCUGCAUGGAGCCGACCUUGAAAUACCACCCUUUAAUGUUUGAUGUUCUAACGUGGACCCGUAAUCCGGGUUGCGGACAGUGUCUGGUGGGUAGUUUGACUGGGGCGGUCUCCUCCUAAAGAGUAACGGAGGAGCACGAAGGUUGGCUAAUCCUGGUCGGACAUCAGGAGGUUAGUGCAAUGGCAUAAGCCAGCUUGACUGCGAGCGUGACGGCGCGAGCAGGUGCGAAAGCAGGUCAUAGUGAUCCGGUGGUUCUGAAUGGAAGGGCCAUCGCUCAACGGAUAAAAGGUACUCCGGGGAUAACAGGCUGAUACCGCCCAAGAGUUCAUAUCGACGGCGGUGUUUGGCACCUCGAUGUCGGCUCAUCACAUCCUGGGGCUGAAGUAGGUCCCAAGGGUAUGGCUGUUCGCCAUUUAAAGUGGUACGCGAGCUGGGUUUAGAACGUCGUGAGACAGUUCGGUCCCUAUCUGCCGUGGGCGCUGGAGAACUGAGGGGGGCUGCUCCUAGUACGAGAGGACCGGAGUGGACGCAUCACUGGUGUUCGGGUUGUCAUGCCAAUGGCACUGCCCGGUAGCUAAAUGCGGAAGAGAUAAGUGCUGAAAGCAUCUAAGCACGAAACUUGCCCCGAGAUGAGUUCUCCCUGAGACUUAGAGUCUCCUGAAGGAACGUUGAAGACGACGACGUUGAUAGGCCGGGUGUGUAAGCGCAGCGAUGCGUUGAGCUAACCGGUACUAAUGAACCGUGAGGCUUAACCUUACA
rnacentral:rRNA from 1 species